UCAGUAGCAGCGGCAGCCGCACAUCAGCAGCUUGCUCUGUUCCAUCCGGCAGCAAUGGCGGCCUCCACCACAAUGGCGCUCUCCUCCCCCGCGAUCAAGCUCGCCGGAGCCUCGUACGCGCUCGGCGGCGGCCGCGUCACCAUGCGCAAGGCCGCGCCCAAGGCCGCCGCCUCCAACAGCCCCUGGUACGGCCCCGACCGCGUGCUCUACCUCGGCCCGCUCUCUGGCGAGCCCCCGAGCUACCUCAGCGGCGAGUUCCCGGGCGACUACGGGUGGGACACCGCGGGCCUCUCCGCCGACCCGGAGACCUUCGCCAAGAACCGCGAGCUCGAGGUGAUCCACUGCCGCUGGGCCAUGCUCGGCGCGCUCGGCUGCGUCUUCCCCGAGCUGCUCGCCCGCAACGGCGUCAAGUUCGGCGAGGCCGUCUGGUUCAAGGCCGGCUCCCAGAUCUUCAGCGAGGGCGGCCUCGACUACCUCGGUAACCCUAGCUUGGUCCACGCUCAGAGCAUCCUUGCCAUCUGGGCUUGCCAGGUCGUGCUCAUGGGCGCUGUCGAGGGGUACCGCGUUGCUGGUGGCCCGCUCGGAGAGAUCGUCGACCCACUCUACCCCGGUGGCAGCUUCGACCCCCUUGGCCUAGCUGACGAUCCAGAGGCGUUUGCCGAGCUCAAGGUGAAGGAGAUCAAGAACGGCCGCCUUGCAAUGUUCUCCAUGUUUGGAUACUUUGUGCAGGCCAUCGUCACCGGUAAGGGUCCGCUUGAGAACCUCGCUGACCACCUCGCCGACCCCGUCAACAACAACGCGUGGGCCUUCGCCACCAACUUUGUGCCCGGCAAGUAAACACAUGAGAAUCGACUUCUCAGGAGUAUAUGUGUGCUCUGGAUGUAUGAUUAAUAUCUGAUCGUUGAUGUUGUACACUAUCAAAGAUGUUUACAAAUAGCGCCCAUCUGGAACAUGAAAUGUCUAUAUGAGAAAUGCAUGGUUUUCAUUUUCCAUAUGAAUACGAGUGGACAUUAAUUGUUUGGGUUUGCUAAACAUCAAGUACUUGAUUUUUUU
rnacentral:lncRNA from 1 species